rnacentral:lncRNA from 7 species
AUGUCCCUAUAUAUGGGGGGGGGGGGUUGGGGUCCUCAUGACCCUAUAUACGGGGGGGCUUUGGGGUCUCCAUGUCCCUAUAUCUGGGGGGGAUUUGGGGUCUCCAUGUCCCUAUAUAUGGGAGGGGUCUUUGGGGUCUCCAUGUCCCUAUAUCUGGGGGGGGUCUUUGGGUCUCCAUGUCCCUAUAUAUGGGGGGGGCUUUGGGGUCUCCAUGUCCCUAUAUAUGGGGGGGGGGGGUGGGGUCCUCAUGACCCUAUAUAUGGGGGGGGGGGGAUUUGGGGUCUCCAUGUCCCUAUAUAUCCGGGGGGCUUUGGGGUCUCCAUGUCCCUAUAUCUGGGGGGGGCUUUGGGGUCUCCAUGUCCCUAUAUAUGGGAGGGGUCUUUAGGGUCUCCAUGUCCCUAUAAACGGGGGGGGGUUUUGGGGUCUCCAUGUCCCUAUAUCGGGGGGGACCCAUCCCAAGAUUGUCUUGGAGUGAGGCAAAGCUGUGGGGCUGUGCUAUGGGGUUGGGUUAUGGGGCAGAGCUAUGGGGCUGCGCUAUGGGGCUGGGUUAUGGGGCUGGGCUAUGGGGCAGAGCUAUGGGGCUGCGCUAUGGGGCUGGGUUAUGGGGCUGGGCUAUGGGGCAGAGCUAUGGGGCUGCGCUAUGGGGCUGGGCUGUGGGGCUGGGCUAUGGGGCUCAGCUAUGGGGCUGCUCUAUGGGGCAGAGCUAUGGGGAUGGACUAUGGGGCAGAGCUAUGGGGCUGCGCUAUGGGGCAGAGCUAUGGGGCUGAGCUAUUGGGCUGGGCUACUGAGCUGUGGGGCUCGGCUACGGGGCUGUGCUAUGGGGCUGAGCUAUGGGGCUGUGCUAUGGGGCAGAGCUAUGGGGCUGGGCUAUGGGGGAGAGAUAUGGGGCAGAGCUAUGGGGCUGGGUUAUGGGGCUGUGCUAUGGGGCUGCGCUAUGGGGCUGCGCUAUGGGGCGGCGCUAUGGGGCUGGGCUAUGGGGCAGAGCUAUGGGGCAGCGCUAUAGGGCAGAGCUAUGGGGCUGGGAUAGGGGGCUUGGCUAUGGGGCAGCUAUGGGGUUGGGUUAUGGGGCUGCAGCAUGGGGCUGCGCUAUGGGGCUGGACUAUAGGGCUGCGCCAUGGCGCUGAGCUAUGGGGCUGAGCUAUGGGGCUGGGAUAGGGGGCUGGGCUAUGGGGCAGCUAUGGGGUUGGGUUAUGGGGCAGAGCUAUGGGGCUGGGUUAUGGGGCUGUGCUAUGGGCUGAGCUAUGGGGCUGCGCUAUGGGGCACAGCUAUGGGGCGGCGCUAUGGGGCUGUGCUAUGGGGCAGAACUAUGGGGCUGGGUUAUGGGGCUGUGCUAUGGGCUGUGCUAUGGGGCUGCGCUAUGGGGCACAGCUAUGGGGCGGCGCUAUGGGGCUGGGCUAUGGGGCAGAGCUAUGGGGCAGCGCUAUAGGACAGAGCUAUGGGGCUGGGAUAGGGGGCUGCGCCAUGGCGCUGAGCUAUGGGGCUGGGCUAUGGGGCUGCGCUAUGGGGCGGCGCUAUGGGGCAGAGCAGUGCCGGAGGGCCGCGGCGGCGAUGCCUUAAUUUGGAAGUGUUGGAGAGCGGCGGCUGCGAAACCCCCACAGUUGGGGGAGGGGGGGGUGGGGCACCGUUCUGCCCCAUAGGGCGGGGCUCCACGUCGGCCCCAUAGAUGGGGGGUCUGCCCCAUAGAUCGGUGCUCAGCAUCAGUUCAGCCCCAUAGAUGGGGGCUCUGCCCCAUAGGUUGGUGCUCAGCCCCAGUUCAGCUGCAUAGAUGGGGGUCUGCCCCAUAGAUAGAUGCUCAGCCCCAGCUCAGCCCCAUAGAUGGGGGCUCUGCCCCAUAGAACAAUGCUCAGUGUCAGUUCAGCCCCAUAGAUGGCAGCUCUGCCCCAUAGGUAGGUGCUCAGCAUCAGUUCAGCCCCAUAGAUGGGGGUCUGCCCCAUAGAUUGGUGCUCAGUCUCAGUUCAGCCUCAUAGGUGGGGGGCUCUGCCCCCCAGAUUGGUGUUCAGCCCCAUAGAUUGGGGCUCUGCCCCAUAGAUCGAUGGUCAGCACCAGUUCAGCCCCAUAGAUGGGGGCUCUGCCCCAUAGAUCGAUGCUCAGCACCAGUUCAGCCCCAUAGAUGGCGGCUCUGCCCCAUAGGUUGGUGUUCAGCCCCAUAGAUGGGGGCUGUGCCCCAUAGAUUGCUGCUCAGCAUCAGUUCAGCCCCAUAGAUGGGGGCUCUGCCCCAUAAAUCAUUGCUCAAUUUCAGUUCAGCCCCAUAAAUGGGGGCUCUGCCCCAUAGAUCGAUGCUCAGCAUCAGUUCAGCCCCAUAGGUGGCAGCUCUGCCCCAUAGAUUGGUGCUCAUCCUCAGUUCAGCCCCAUAGAUGGGGGCUCUGUCCCAUAGAUUGGUACUCUGUCUCAGUUCAGCCCCAUAGAUGGGGGCUCUACCCCAUAGAUUGGUGCUCAGCAUCAGUUCAGCCCCAUAGAUGGGGGCUGUGCCCCAUAGAUUGCUGCUCAGUCUCAGUUCUGCCCCAUAGAUGAGGGCUCUGCCCCAUAGAUUGGUGCUCAGCCCCAGUUCAUCCCCAUAGAUUAGGGCUCUGCCCCAUAGAUUGGUGCUCAGCAUCAGUUCAGCCCCAUAGAUGGCAGCUCUGCCCCAUAGGUUGGUGCUCAGCUUCAGUUCAGCCCCAUAGAUGGGGGCUCAGCCCCAUAGAUCGGUGUUCAGCCCCAUAGAUCGGGGCUCUGCCCCAUAGAUUCGUUCGCAGAAUCAGUUCAGCCCCAUAGAUGGGGGCUCUGCCCCCACCUCAGCCCCAUAGAUUGGAAUCCCAGCACCACCUGCGCCCCAUAGAUGGGGGCUACACAUCAUCCCAGCCCCAAAGAUGGGGAUCUCUGCCCCACCUCAGCCCCACAGAUGGGAUCCCAGAACCCUCCCCUCACGUGAUGGGGGUAUAUGGGUGAUGGGUGAUGGGGUAUAUGGGGUGAGGGGGGUGAUGGGGGUAUAUGGGGUGAUGGGGGUAUUGGGGGUAUAUGGGGUGAUGGGGGUGAUGGGGUGAUGGGGGGUGAUGGGGGCCAUGGGAGGUCAUGGGAGGUCAUGGGGGGACGUGGAGUCGGGGGGGUCAUGGGGGUCAUUGGGGUCAUUGGGGGUCAUGGGGGUAUAUA